rnacentral:tRNA from 1 species
CCUCUCGUCGUUCAAUGGACCGGACACUUCCCUGCGAAGGAAGAGAUGCAGGUUCGAUUCCUGCCGAGAGGA